rnacentral:rRNA from 1 species
UACGAAGGGGGCUAGCGUUGCUCGGAAUCACUGGGCGUAAAGCGCACGUAGGCGGCUUCUUAAGUCAGGGGUGAAAUCCUGGAGCUCAACUCCAGAACUGCCUUUGAUACUGAGAAGCUUGAGUCCGGGAGAGGUGAGUGGAACUGCGAGUGUAGAGGUGAAAUUCGUAGAUAUUCGCAAGAGCACCAGUGGCGAAGGCGGCUCACUGGCCCGGUACUGACGCUGAGGUGCGAAAGCGUGGGGAGCAAACAGG